CGAAGCCACCCUGAGCCUGUUCGUUUCCGACACUGAAGAUGAGGACUUUGGUGGUUUUACAGCCUGGUGCUUUCUGUGGGAUUGAUGAAAACAGCAGACACAUUCUGAAGUGAUGUUCUCAGCUAUUCUGCUCAGUAUGUCACUCACUGUUGGGUUUUCCUUGUGUCUGUAGAAAACACAUGCCGACUCUUCGCUGCUUUGCCCAGUUACAGCUCGGCUCCUCUCAUUCCACACUGAUGCAUGUCCCAAUGUGUCCCAGUUUGCAGAGGUGAGAACGUACACUGACAGAAAC